AUGCAAGCAGACACCAGCCUAAGGAGCAGGAAGGCUGCUUCCUGGAAAUAGCCUGAAAAUCUCUACCUCUCUCCACAAGCUGCAGUAAUAUCCUUGUGCAUUUAGGUGGAAGCAGGACUUUGAACCACCUAAUUAGCUGAAGAAUGAGGUAAUCAGCAGCAAGCUAAUGCCUACAAAAUAGACUGAGCCGAAGCUGAACAUGAGAACAAAGCCCUGCUUCCACAGCAGAAAGACCAGCCUAACUCCCAGCUGGGAAGACUUAGGCAGAGAUUUAUAAGUACAAACACUGAAGAAAUUUAGCAAGAGUGCUAACGAAAGAGGGCAACAGAAAUCAGGAUCACCGACUGAUGCCUGCUCUUUACGGAGGCUAGAAUGUACACAAACCCC